UCUCUUGAAUUGGAGAUUAGUUCCUGAGAGCAGUUGCUUUCAGCUUGGAACCUGGGAAAACCCCAAAAAACCUCAGAAGGCUAAAUAAAAGGUGAUUCAACCCCAAAUUUUCACAGACAUCCUAAACAGAGCCUUGCCCACUGUGAAAAUAUUUUCUUCUCAGUGUAACCCACCUUUGCUAUAUUCCUUGCCCAUUAAGAAGUCUGUCUUCCUAGCAAGCUGGCUUCUUAGUGUAAUUAAAUCCCAUUCUCUGCCACAAACCUCGUGCCUGUAUUCAUCAGGGUUUGCAAAUUCUUUUGCAAAGCCUGCCACUGGCCAAGGGGAUUCCAUUGCUGUUAGGGAAUCUCUUUCUCUUUAUUUUGUACCUCAUCAAAGUUAUAUAGAAGAAGAUUGAGGAUCAUCAAACAGAUACGAGAAAAAACCCAGGAGAACUACCUGCCAUCUAGGGGAGGGAGUGGAGGGAAGGAGGGUAAAAGUUUUAACUUAAAAAAUAUAAAAAACAUAUGUAUGGCUAAUUUUUCAACAUUGACACUUGCAAAAACUUGUUUCAACUUUUCCCCUCCCCUUUGUAUAUAAAAAGGUAUAAUAAAAAAAAAGAAGAAAAAGAAAAAACUCAGGAGACAUCAAUGUUUUGAAAAUCUCAAAAGGAAAGUGGGAGAUCAAUAAUGUCAGUCUUCAGAGAACCCAAGAAGGAUAAAGAUGGAAAAGAAGCCAUUAAAUUUAGUAUCAUCUUGGAUUAUUUACAACCUAAUUCUUUAUGUUUAUCUCUUUCCAGCAAAUCCUGCUUUUCAGGUUUUUCACACUGCCACUCACUGUACUCAUUUCAUCCUUUGAUGUUUUUACAGGACCUAGAUGGCAAAGCUCUUUUAAUUUAAAUCAUUACCUGUUCACAAAGGAGUCUGGAUUCCAAGACAACUAACUUAAAGGGCAGCUCUGAUUAGAUUUAUGAGUUUAUUAAUCUCAUAAAUUAAUUUCUUCAUAGUAAGGAGAAAGAAAAGGUAUUUAAGAAGUUGGGGUUUCUCCAUUCAUUGCUGGAAGAUGGCGGCUGGCAGCUGGCUGUAUGCUGGACGCUGGAUUCUUUGAGAUGACAGUCUCCUCCAGCCCUGGGACCAACAUGGAUUCCUUGGUCCCAGUAUAUCUUUAUCUCUGUCUGACUGGAUAAUUUGAGACGAGAGUCCUAUCCAGUCAAUCUUACUCUCCCAUUAAUAAAAUAUUAAAAACUCUCUAA